rnacentral:lncRNA from 1 species
AAAAAAGGCGAGAAGAAAAAAACGUGUUUCUCUUCCGUUGACCCGCGCCACGCCGCGCCGGCACACGGGCGGAAUAGAAGAAAAGGCAAUGCAGUAACAAAAAAAAGAAGAGCGCAAAAGGAUGGUGUCGCGCACGCUGGUUUCAGAGUUUACGCGCUCGCUCGCCCAAGGCCUCUGCCGUCGGCUGUCGUCUCCUCCCGGGUCGGCCAGAGAAAGGACACAACCGCGUCGCGGCUCGUCGCGUCGCUGGGCACCACGUGGCCCCAUCGAUGCGCCAACCGCGUAGGCGGCACGGUGUAAACAGCCGCGAGGCGGUGGACAUCCUCCUCGGUGCAGAGCGUGUCUUUGGUGCCGUGGCCGAUCAGUGCGCGCACAUGGGGACCGACCGGAGCGAGCCUGCUCAGUCCUGGGUCUUGGACGCCCGAAGCGCCAAAGAGGACGACACGCUCACAACCGGGCACAGCGCCGGAUUGCAAGAGGAGCGUUGCCAGCACGGCGCCCUGAGAAAACCCGACGACGGCGUCGACGCUGCGCCCGCCGAGCGCCUCCUUGAUGGCAUCCCAUGUUUGGUCAAACUCUUGGUAGACGAAUGCGUCGUCGAGUCGCAUGGUGGGGCGACGCCACCAGGCGCGGCCCGGCGGUGGGUCGAGCGCAACGGGCGCCGUGGGGUAGACGAUGGUCGCAGGCCGGUGACCGGCAGGUGCCUUGAGGAGGCGCUUUAGCGGACGCGCCAGAUCGUCGUUGGUUUGCCCGUAGCCGUGCAGUGCCAACACGACAAGCGCCUUCCCUUGGUCUUUGGCCGUGGUCGGAUCGCUUUUCCUCGCGGCCAUGGUCUUUUUCCGUACUCUUUUUCUUUGGUUCUUUUGGUUUUUGUUGUUGUUGUUGCCCUCUCACGAUAAGGCGGGGGUGUCCGCGGGCGUGCUCCGUGUCCGUCCUCUGUUUUCUGAUUUUUUGACACGGUUCAGUAGGACGGCCGCCUUUUUGCCGACUGUUUUUAGCGGUUGUCGCGGUGCUGUUUUUUUUAGCGUGGGUGCGCUUCCUGUCUCUUUCUUGCCUGAACAAAAGGGAGCCGAAGCGCGGUGCCUGAUAGGUAGGGAAAAAAAGGGAAUAGGUCGGCGUUGUUUGCCUGCGCGCCUGACGUUCUUUUUUUUGUGCUAACGGUUGUUUUUUUGUUCUUUUCCUUUUUUUCGAGCCGUAGCCGAUGCUGCCCCCCACCCAAGGAGCAGGCGUAUUGGCGUCCGAAAGGGAAAAAAAGGCAAGCGGCCCGCUGAUGUCGACCGCGCCUCUCCCACACGCGCCCCCAAUCCGACGUGUCAAAGCCCUUUUCUGUUGGGGCGCUCAUAAACGAGACGGUUCGCUAUAAAAAAAGCACGUUUUUAGAGAAAAAAAAGUACAACGGCGCGAAAGGGUCGGAGGAAAGAGGCGGCCUGCCCGGUGGCGC